UCCAAGCUAAAUUAUCACAUAAGAGACCUUGGUUCUUUGGAAAGGUUCUUCCUGGGGGAAGGUUUGGGGCUGGACUGCCUCAGUGCUGCUCUGGCUCAGCUGAGUUAAUGAUUUCUGGAAGCAGCUGGUGACAGAAGCAAAUGGAGGAACCCCAAGUGGGGGAUCAGCCCCAGUGAGGGCUCUGAACAGACCUGCUGGUGAUACAACACACACCGGACAGGAUAUUUGCCCGUUGUCCGCCUUCAGAAGAGAAACGGGGACAGGAAAUUAAACUGGCCCAAGCGUUCGAUCUCUGCCGCCGUUUUUUAAGAGGCUUUUAAAAAUUCUUGGAAAAAUCUUUCAGGAACUCCUCAGGAAUUUUUUUUUACCCUCUACUUCUUGAACUCCUGUGUCAUCAUUCAGCACGGGGAUUGGAAUUAAAGCUUUGAUGGGAUUUCUGUCUCGAGUCGGACUGAAACAAAAAGCAAAGUUAUCUGUGCAGGCUGGUGAGUUAUUCACUCUCAGCUUCAGCGGCGGCAGAGGACAGCUCAGAGUGGUAAAUAAGACUGACAACUAAAUAAACCCACACUCCAGAGACUUCAGCACCUCUGUUUCAUUUGGAAACAGGUAGAAAUGUCCUUUCUCUUGGCUCUGUGGACGUGGAGGUGUUUUGGAUGCCAAGUCUGGCGGCUGUACGGACACACUUGUGGAUUUACACGGCUCACACGAGCUGGUGUUCACUGAGGAGGGAUCAGUUUUAAUCUCUGUGUAAAGCUGACAUAACACUGAGAGUAAGCUGGAAGCUUUCCGUGGAUGCAGUGUGGAUGCUGAG